GUGGUGUGUGUGUGUGUGUGUGUGUGUGUGUGUAUGUGUGAGACUGCUGUGUUUUUCCCCUCGAUAGUUUCAGAAGGACUUUAGGAUCACAUGUUGUUUAGUUCAGUCUCACAGAGGCACUAUUGAGGCGCCGUUGUGUUUUGUUGCACUGUUACAGUGUUUGGAACAAGUAACACCUAAACAUGGACUCGAGGGGGUAUAAUUGGAAAAACAGCAUGUUUUCCACAUCUGACAUGGUUGUGUUUUUCACCCAAGGGCACACAGAGCAAUGAUGACAUUUCCUUUCAUAGCUAGCAUAGGAGAGGAACAGUAUUUCACAGAUAGUCGGCAUAAUGGAAGAAUCACUUUCUUAACAUGUUCCAGAGGUAAAUAUUAGAAUGCAGUGGAAAUGAAUGAAAUCA